AAUAUUAGUUAAGGUCUUUAAACCCAAAGAAUUUGGCGGUAUUUUAUUCCAUUCAGAGGAACCUAUCCCGUAAUUGAUAGUACACGAUUAACUUUACUUAAUUUAUUUGUUUGUAUAUCUCCGUUAUCAGAGAAUCUUUUUAGAGUUAUAAUUUUCUGAAUUUAUAAUUGUAAAGUAUUUCAGGUCAAGGUGCAGCUUAUAAUUAAGAGGAGGUGGGUUACAAUAAAUUAAUUUAAAACGGAUUUAAUAAUAAAUAUUAUUAAUGAAGGUGAAUUUGAUAGUAAUUUAAUUUAUUUUAUUUAUUUGAUAUUGGCUCUAAAGUGUGU
rnacentral:rRNA from 1 species